rnacentral:rRNA from 1 species
CAGUAGCCGCGGGAAUACGUAGGGGGCAAGCGUUAUCCGGAAUUACUGGGUGUAAAGGGAGCGUAGACGGUUAAACAAGUCUGAAGUGAAAUGCCGGGGCUCAACCCCGGAGCUGCUUUGGGAACUGUAGAACUGGAGUGUCGGAGGGGUAAGCGGAAUUCCCAGUGUAGCGGUGAAAUGCGUAGAUAUUGGGAGGAACACCGGCGGCGAAGGCGGCUUACUGGACGACAACCGACGUUGAGGCUCGAAGGCGUGGGUAGCAAACAGGAUUAGAUACCCGAGUAGUCCCUGUCUCUUAUAC